GCAAACUCCAGGAGGGCUGCCAUGUGCCUUUUACUAAGCUGUGGCUUCCAUCUGGAUAGUAUACCAUAGAGGCCUGAUUGGGGGCGAUGAUGGGCUAGUGGU